CCCUGCCCCAGGGCCCGUCCCGCCUCCAGCGCCCGGCUGAGGAGAGCCGCGGACCCCCCCGGCCGGCUCCGGCCUGUUCUGACACAGCCCCGGCCUUGCCCAGCGCGGGUAGGAGCUUCCCGCUGAGGGGACGGGCGUGAGGGAGGCCCGGAGGCCCGUUCCACCGAGGCCGUCACGGGAACGAAUGCAGAGGUUUUGGGGAGUUUGGUGCUAGAAUGCAGAGCACCUACCUCACCCCCAACCUGAAACAGAAGCAUCCAGGAAUGUGGAUCAGUGCUGCCUCCUCAGAUCAGCCGCACCAUCCCAAACAGACGCUUCUUCAGACCUGUGCAUCAGCAGGAGGGAGUUGCCAAUUUUGAUCAUCUGUACAAAAUACAUCAGCUCUUAUGUCUGGAUCAAAAUCAACACUCUUAAGUUUCCAAGCCACUUAUGCCACAUUCCUGAGAAAGGGGAAAGCACAUCCCACUCCCUUUGGGCACUACACACCAGCUCCUUUAUGGUAGCCCAAUGUCAGAUGACCACGUACUGAGUUUGUAAAAACAUCCUCCUGUCUUACACAACUCUGUGUUCCCCCACGUCGUAGGAAGCUAGCAAGCCCCAUGCACCUACCAGCUGUAGUAGCUGUGCCGCACAGAGAUGGACCUUCCACCCUUGUGCACGACAGGAUACACCCUUCUGAUUGGCGAUCUCCUGUAGCAUAGCCUUCUUCUCUUCUGUCACCAGGAAAUACAAAGAUAUGUUAUUCAAAUUUCAGGAGUUCCCCAGGCCUCUUCUCAAACAAAAACAUUAAGCCAAAUCCUGCUCUCCAUACAUCCUAAUAAAUGACAAUGAGCAAUGUUU